rfam:Felis catus isolate Cinnamon breed Abyssinian chromosome D2, whole genome shotgun sequence.
GCCCGGGUGGCUCAGUCGGUUGAGCGUCCGACUUCGGCUCAGGUCAUGAUCUCCCAGUUGGUGGGUUCGAGCCCCGCAUCGGGCU